rnacentral:rRNA from 1 species
UCUAAUACCGGAUAUCACUUGCGCAGGCAUCUGUGCGGGUUGAAAGCUCCGGCGGUGAAGGAUGAGCCCGCGGCCUAUCAGCUUGUUGGUGAGGUAACGGCUCACCAAGGCGACGACGGG